GGUGAGGUAACGGCUCACCAAGCCGACGACGGGUAGGGGGCGUGAGAGCGUGGCCCCCCACACGGGAACUGAGACACGGUCCCGACGCCUACGGGCGGCAGCAGUGAGGAAUCUUGCCCAAUGGGGGAAACCCUGAGGCAGCGACACCGCGUGCGGGAUGAAGGCCUUCGGGUCGUAAACCGCUUUUCUGGGGGACGAGUAAGGACGGUACUCCAGGAAUAAGUCCCGGCUAACUACGUGCCAGCAGCCGCGGUAAAACGUAGGGGGCGAGCGUUAUCCGGAAUCACUGGGCGUAAAGGGCGUCUAGGCGGCAGCCUAAGUCCCGUGUGAAAGCUCCCGGCUCAACUGGGAGAGGGCAUGGGAGACUGGGCAGCUAGAGACUCGGAGGGGGGUGUGGAAUUCCCGGUGGAGUGGUGGAAUGCGUUGAGAUCGGGAGGAACACCAGUAGCGAAGGCGGCACCCUGGCCGAGAUCUGACGCUGAAGCGCGAGAGCGUGGGGAGCGAACGGGAUUAGAUACCCCGGUAGUCCACGCCGUAAACGAUGACAACUAGGUGUUGGGUGUCCAAGGAUGCUCAGUACCGCAGCAAACGCGAUA
rnacentral:rRNA from 1 species